UACGUAGGGGGCAAGCGUUGUCCGGAAUUAUUGGGCGUAAAGAGCGCGUAGGCGGUCCGGUAAGUCGGUUGUGAAAGUCGGGGGCUCAACCCUCGGAUGCCGAUCGAUACUGUCGGGCUAGAGUCCGGAAGAGGCGAGUGGAAUUCCUGGUGUAGCGGUGAAAUGCGCAGAUAUCAGGAGGAACACCAAUGGCGAAGGCAGCUCGCUGGGACGGUACUGACGCUGAGGAGCGAAAGCUAGGGGAGCAAACGGG
rnacentral:rRNA from 1 species